UACAGAGGUCCCAAGCGUUGUUCGGAUUCAUUGGGCGUAAAGAGCGCGCAGGCGGCUUGGUAAGUCGGAUGUGAAAUCCCGAGGCUCAACCUCGGGUCUGCAUCCGAUACUGCCCGGCUAGAGGUAGGUAGGGGAGAUCGGAAUUCCUGGUGUAGCGGUGAAGUGCGCAGAUAUCAGGAGGAACACCGGUGGCGAAGGCGGAUCUCUGGGCCUUACCUGACGCUCAGGCGCGAAAGCUAGGGGAGCGAACUGG
rnacentral:rRNA from 1 species